rnacentral:rRNA from 1 species
AUUGAACGCUGGCGGCAGGCCUAACACAUGCAAGUCGAGCGGAUGAAGGGAGCUUGCUCCUGGAUUCAGCGGCGGACGGGUGAGUAAUGCCUAGGAAUCUGCCUGGUAGUGGGGGACAACGUCUCGAAAGGAACGCUAAUACCGCAUACGUCCUACGGGAGAAAGCAGGGGACCUUCGGGCCUUGCGCUAUCAGAUGAGCCUAGGUCGGAUUAGCUAGUUGGUGAGGUAAUGGCUCACCAAGGCGACGAUCCGUAACUGGUCUGAGAGGAUGAUCAGUCACACUGGAACUGAGACACGGUCCAGACUCCUACGGGAGGCAGCAGUGGGGAAUAUUGGACAAUGGGCGAAAGCCUGAUCCAGCCAUGCCGCGUGUGUGAAGAAGGUCUUCGGAUUGUAAAGCACUUUAAGUUGGGAGGAAGGGUUGUAGAUUAAUACUCUGCAAUUUUGACGUUACCGACAGAAUAAGCACCGGCUAACUCUGUGCCAGCAGCCGCGGUAAUAC